ACAGCCCCCUUUCAUCCCAUUCAGCUGCACAUCUGCAGCUUUUGAAGGGUUGGGUUGCUCUUUGUUAGAGCGGAGGGGAAGGAAUUGCACAAGUUAUUAGACCAGUAUUGUUAUACAAAGGAUUGGGAGUCUACCUGAUACUUUGCAAACAUUCAUCUGAAAACAUGUUACUUUUUGGUCAGUAAAGACUAAGGCAUAUUAAAUAAUGCAUUCAACCUUUAUUGUGCUUUUCAUGAUUUCUGGUUUAUUGAUAUAACACAUAUUCAAGUUUUCUGGCAUAACAAAUAACAAACUAAACUGCAGUCAAUCAGUGUAUCAUAAUCUGUCUCUAUUUUCUAUGCUAUGUUAAAUGAACAGUACUUUUCUAGCCGUUAACCCGGAGUUAUCUUUGUAUAAGUGGCACAUGAGAGCCAUUCCUCUGUAAUGCAGUGUUAAACAGCUUUGCAGGGUAAUGGGGUAUGCAUCCCGCCCAUCAUCUGGUCCACACUUACAGGCACAGUGUUGUAUGUAUAGGGCCGUCCCUCUGGAGACUGGGGUCUUGCACCUUAGUCUUAAAUGAAGUGCUAUUUUCAUGCUUGCUGUAGAUUAGAACCCAUGCACUUUAUAUUCAUGUUUCAAUUUUGCAUUAGACUUUUAUUCUCACUGUGUACUUGGCAUGGGAUCUAUGUUGAUCGAGAACAUUAUCACAGCCUCUUUUUCUAUGCAUUGGUUUGCUGUGCAUUUCUUGCACCCUCGCCUCAGGAAUGCUAUCAAGGCACAUUGGCAGACAGCAGAUGGUGGAGCAUCCCAAUAUAUGGCCCACUGGUGUUUUUUGUCUAGGUCCUCAGCUAUCUGUCAGACGGGAUUAUGUGAGAGUUGUCUUAUGUUGAGAAGCACAAAGAUGGGUGAUGAUUUAGUCAGCCGGUGGCUCACAUAGCCUUACACAAGGUCAUGACAAUUUUAAUGUUUUGUGUGUUUUCCGCGUGUUUUUUGCAUGUGUGUGUGUGUGUGUGUGUGAUAGGGAGGCCACAAUUAUAGAUUUUAAUAGUAAAAUCAUAGUCUGAGGAAUAAUGAAGGUUUCACAAUUAUUAUGCAUUAAUUUAUUUCACUAUGGCUGUAUAAAAUCACAUGAGGGUUCUUUAGUUGAUUGAUUCAAAUAAGGAGUAAAAGGCUGCAAGACCUGUGUCUGCAUCAGUGCCCUUUUAACAAGUCCUUUCACUUCAAGAAAUGUGAGCCCAACAUUUUCAGUGCCCUCUUUACCGUUGAGGAGACAGGUUUGACCACCGGUUUGUAGCUUGACUACAAAACAGAAACAUUGGUCAGAAUUUAAGUUAGAGCUUUACUUGAGAACCGAGGUGUUCUAGGGUGAUGGGAUUGCAUUUGAUGCUGCAGGUGCGGAACUAUUCUUUCUUGCAGUGGUGAUUCGUUGUAACAAUCCAGAUUGGCUCUUCUCCUUCGUGUUUGUGGUGGUGGAGGUGCUUUGCGUGGUUGCUGGAGGCUGUUCCGUGUUUGGAGGUUCUUGUGUUCACCCCACAGAUGGCCCUGCUGCUGCAUUUCAACUUUGGAUCCCCCCUGCUGGCCCCAUCGUGAAUCAGUGCAGGCUCAGGGAUGGUCAAUUCUGCCUGCUUCUUUUGAAGCUCUCACUCAGCUUCAAGAAAACCCCUGCACCAAAUGUCUCCAUGCUCUGGUAGCGGGUUUACAAGGACACUUUUCAAAGGCUUUCUUCAAGUAACUGGCAUUGUCUGUUGUAAUUCCAGACAGACUCUCUUUCUGAAUCUUCCACUCCUAGAGGGCGUUUUGCAUCAUUUCAGUGAUAUUCUCUGCGGUGUGGUCUUGUGGAAAAGACAUUGUCUCAAGACACUAGGACUUAAGUGGCCAAUCGGAGGAUAUAUCGUGAACUGUAAAGCUCAUAAAGGGUUCAACUCCACCACAGGGACUGGUCCACAGGUCUGUAGUUGCAUCAAACCACAAACCCUCUGCUAGCUGUUGCUCCACACUGGCUCGUACCUCCUUGCUCCUUGCACAUGCUUGGGAUUUGGUUUGUGGAGAAGUAGAUUCUUGUUGUGGCACUGCCUUUUUCAUUAGAUGAAGAAAUAAAGUAGUUUUUUUUAGGAAAUGAAAGUAAUCAAUAGAAGCCAGAGAAUUUAUCAAAUCAAAUGUUGAUGGUCAGAUAAAGUUAGUUUUAAGACAGAAAUUAAAUCUAUGAUAACUUGGUGGCAUUUGCUUUUAGUUAUUUAUUUUAGAGACUAAAUGAGUAUUAUGAAAAACAAUCAGUGCAUUAAGCGACUAUAAAAAUGUUGGAUGGAACCCUACAUGCAAUAUUUAGAUAAUGGUCUUGAGCCUUAUGUGAAUGGCUGUACUAUUUAAAUGUCAACUAUUGUUUACAGAAAGUUCCUUUUUUCUUAUUGGAAUGGUUUUAUUUUGUAUUACUUUUAUUUAACCUAACACAGUCACAGCUUUUCUGACUAUUGUUAGAUUUUUCUAUGUUUGGUGGUUUUAUGUUCUAUGCCAAUUAAAAAAUUAAAAUAAAUACAUGUUGGAAGUAA